rnacentral:snRNA from 1 species
AAAAUAAAAAAAGGUUCACCCAUAGCGAGGCUCAGCCAUUGCACUGAGGCUGUUGCUGACCCGUGCGAAUUCCCCAAAUGUGGGAAUCUCGAUUGCAUAAUUUCUGGUAGUGGGGGACUGCGUUCGCGCUCUCCCCUG